UGACCUCGGAUCAGGUAGGAAUACCCGCUGAACUUAAGCAUAUCAAUAAGCGGAGGAAAAGAAACCAACAGGGAUUGCCUUAGUAACGGCGAGUGAAGCGGCAACAGCUCAAAUUU
rnacentral:rRNA from 4 species